AGCAGCAUGGCGCAGAUGGAAGCGCGCGGGGCCCAUAUAGGACAGUCAAGUUCGCUCGUUACCCCGAGGUCACUGGAUCGAAACCAGUUGCUGCUA